GAAAUUAGAACUUGCAGGUCAGGCUUUUUAAAGAUCGGUAAUCGGCUGGAAAACUUCAAUUGGUGCAGCCCUACUUGGGCUCAUCUGGACUUAUCCUUUAACUUUUAUUUGACAGUACUAGUUGAUGAGCACUGCCCAUCUGAGACUGGUCUGACCUGAUUUAAGUCGUGGUCAAUGGAAAGCUAAAUAAAAAUGAAAUGAGGCAGAAUCGUGCUUACCGCGACUAAAUGACUGAAUGAUCUCAGAAUCUACUGAGCUUCUCUGUUGCUCACACUUUUAGUUUUAUCAUGCUCUUAGGCUAUAUGCACAGUAAAGUGAAAGAGCUCAUAAUGGGGAAUGGCUGAGGGCAAAGGUUCUGUUCUGAAUCAUAGCAGCAGAACCAUGGAGGUCAAACAGUCUUUGCUGGGAUCCAAAUGAAAGAGCAGAUUAAAACCUUCAGCCCUAAAAUAGCAGAGAGCAGAGAGCAGUGGUGGCCUGAAGAUCUGUUAACGUUUGUGUUCUGACAAAUUGGUGGUUGCUUGUGGUGAGCAGCAGCAGCCGCCAUCUUGGCUUCAGUUACUCUGCUGUUUAGCUGUGAAAACAAGCAGCCACAAAGAGUCUCAUGUUAGAUCCAAAUUGGGCUUUUCAGCCACAGCAGAGAGCAGUGAAGUAGUAAAGUGUUCUGAUCCAACUGUAUCCUGAUUGUUUACGGCAGACAUAUUUACUGCACGACCACAACUGACUGCUUCUGUGUUUAUACUCUGUCUCUUCCUCUCCUCCAAAUGCCCGGAUGACCUUUCACCCCGAGCCUGCCUCUGAUCCUCUGAUGGGCUCUACCUGCUAAAGAAAAGUGCCUCUUCUCCACUGUCACCCCAUGCUUCCUCAGGAUGAGACAACACUAUCCUGAGUAAAUACAAAAACUGAUUAUGAGGAUUUAACUUAAUAAGUUUAAAAACUAUUUACAAUUUAUUUGUAUUUAUUGAGUAUUUAUUUAACCAGAAGGAUUCUUGAGGAUUUGCUCUGUUGCUGCUACCCCAACAGAUGACAGCAGAAGAGAUGAUGCUCUCAACAGACUGUAGAAGAUCUGGAGCAACUUGCAGCAAACCUUGAAGUCCAGUAUGCUCUGUCCCUUCUUAAAGAUGCUUCACUGUUUUGUCUCCAGUACAGACUGCUGUCCUUGUGAACACUGAGGUAUUUAUAUUCCUAAACCGUCUCCACUUCACGUUGUGGCUCUUUGCAGCCCCAAAGCUUUGAAAUUCCUUUACAACCCUUCUCAGACUGAGACAGGUCAGUGACUAGUUUACAGCCAUGAAUGACUGAAUAUUACUGGAAUGAACUCAACUGAUUUGAACUAAAUUUGCUCCAAACUGAAUAAAAUACAACUAAUAAUCAGCAAAUUAUGAGUUGGACCAGUUUGUCUUGGUGUCUCGGUGACCGGAGUGGGUGAGAAGCUCUCCGGGUUUCCAAACUCAUUCAUGAUCAAACCUAUGUGUACUAAGGUUCACACACACCUGACUGAGUAAGCUGCAGCCUGACUCAUGUGAGGAAAGAGCAGGAUUACUGCAGGGUGACGUAACAGGAUCGUCUCUCUGCCGACACAUUACUCACCUGCCAAGAUAUGAAACAAACCUCCUUUCAUUAAUUAAUUGAUGAAAUGAAGGAAAAUGUAAUCAAUGGUAUUUAUGGUUGCUUUUUACCUCACAAAUUAAUCAAAUGAACUUUGUUGGAGCUCAUGUUGGUUUGUUGGCAUGAAUCCUUUAAGGCAUCAACUUACUUCAGCAUUAACAGACACUGAAAUCUGCUUUAAUCAAGUUCUAACAUUUUAACUCUGCAGGACGGAGCUUUGUCACUGAAGAAGACGUCAUGAAUUCUUUCUUGGACUGAGGAACCCAAUCGCCAUGGUGCUGAUCUUAAUCUGUUUGAACCCACACUGAGCUCUACAGUCAUGAUUUGUCUGCAGAUUCAUUUCCUAAAUAAAACAUCCAAAUGAAGACUAUAGUGGGAUGUGAUACUAUCCAUUUACUCAGAGGUUUUUACAUCCGCCAACAAACAAAGUGCUCUGCAUCCACCGGACUAGUACAGAGCUCAUAUCUGAGCCUGGAGUUACAAACUGGAACAGACAUGUUUUAGCACUUCACUGUGACAAACAUGAGGAACAUGGAAUACUGGGGAAUGUUCUCAAACAACACACAGGAUGGAAGCAGUGCUAGGAUCCUAGCUGAUUAGCAUGGCUAAAGUAAUGAAACCAGAAAGUCUUAGUCCACUCAGAAGUUCCUCCUUCAGUGACUCAAAGGGAGUAAAGGGAUCUGUUCAGACCUGUUGCAUAUUCUCCAACAAUAACCAUCCUCAGGUUUCCCAGCAGAGACCGUCACCCGUCCCCUCCCUCUCUGACACACCCACCCUGUGAGGAGUGUCUCCGGCACACAGAGAAACCACAGCAUGUUCUCCCCUCAGACUGCUGCUCACACACUUUGGUUUUUUUUUAAAAGAAGGAACUGCAGAUGAUUUGCAGUUUCCCUAUGAGAGAGCAUGGCUUAAUUCACACACAAAGAAACCUUCCAGCUCAUCAAAAAGCCCAGAGCUGAUACAAUGCAGCGAUGCACCUUCCAUCCAUCCAGUCACUUACUACACCAGUCUGCAAUUCCCUAUACAGAGCUGAGAGUGAUCUCUAAUUAACAUGACAUGCACCUCUUCCUCACUAUGGGUGGGAAAAAAAGCAUCUGGAAAAAGCUGGAACAUCAGUACAGAUGUUUAAGUUAUAACUUUUAGAGUUUAUGGUCUCUUCAUUUACAGGACAGAAAAUAUAGGAGUUAACCUGACUGGACCUACUUUUUGUGUAUUAAAGAGUUAUCAGCCUGUGUAACAUUUAGUAUAGAAUGGCAUUAAAUUGAUUUGAAAAUAAAUUACUUUUUUCCAGACUGAACUGUUUAAAAUAAUUAAAUCUAUUGGAAAAAAAGGGUUUUCUUCCCGUUUUUGGUCCAGAUGGUGAUGCUAUAACCCUUUAGAAUUAGUCAAGAGGAAAUAAUCUAAUCUGUUUUAUCUUCAGACAAAACAUCUUGCCUCGCUCCACUUCAGGAUCUGCGAGUUACCAUGGCAACGACCUCAAGGCCAGCAUGAAGAUUCACAACCAAAGCAAGAAAACACUUACUGCCACUUUAAAUGAAACAACUGAUCUCAUGUUUUCUCUCUCUAUUUCAUCUAACAGAUUACAAGAUGUUCUUGUUCUGAAGGACAAACAGAUGGACCCACGUAGGUGAUGACAUCAAGAUUCUGUCUCCAUCAUGUUCCUUACCAGGAGAAGGGCAGCUGUUUUGGGUUAUGGGUUAGGUUGAGGACUAAGGUGUGAAUUAAGCAGAGGUUAGGUUAAGGGUUAGGGUCAGGCUAUAGAAAUGAAUGGAAGUCAAUGGAAAGUUUCUGUGAAGACAGAAAGUGUUAUGGCAGAACCAUGAAAGCAGCCUGCAGUGCCACUGUGUGAACGUCUGGGAUGAUUUAUUGUGAACUGAUUCUAUAUAACUGAACUGAACUGGAUUUUGUAAUCCUUCCUGUUUGGUACUUGAGGCUGGCGUGGGUGUCUCUUACAGUUCAGUGACUUGUUCUGGCCUUUAUCUCACAUCUGUGAUGACCUCCAGGUCCUGUAUGGCCAGUAUUUCCUCUUUAAUUGACUUUAGACGCAACUUUUGGAACUUUUUGUCUCUUCACAAAAGCCUGCUACUCUGAUCCCAAAAUGACACUGUAUCCAUGGCAAUCCAUGUACUACUCUGAAACCUGUCAGCUGAUCUGAGCCAAUGCAGAGGAGAACAAGCUGCUUCCAUCUAAACUCACCAAUAAAUGACUUCAUGCCUCUUUGUGAAUAAAAUUCACUGAUCAGUUCGUGGGAUUUGGUUUAUUUGCAUAGUUCUAAUCAUAAUUAGCACUUGUCUCAUGUUAAAUGUUUUAUUUCAAUGUUCAGUUGGUUUUAGUCUCUUCCUCAUUAUUGAUACUUUCAGACGAUAAAAUGAAGAACUAAAAAUGGAAACGCCAACUUUGACUUUUUUCACAUCUUCAUCUUCAUAUUUGUAAUUCAAUAAAAGUGGUUUUGAAGCUAACAGUUAAAAGCUCUGCUUCCUCAAAAUGAAAAAUCUCCUUAUCAAGUUGGAGGGCAGUGGCAGUCUGAAGACUGAGCAGCAGGAAUGUGGGAGCCAAUCAGGACAAACAGAAACUCUGCUUCAUUCAACAUUCACUCUGUCACUGCUGCUGCUGGGAAUAUUUGGAAAAAACAUGAUAUUGUGGAACUUACCCAGACUUGCAUAUUUAUUUUAUUUAUUUUUCUUCUAAAAUCUCAGAAAAACAGUUAAUACAUGUUUGGUGUUGAAAUGUAACAGUCGUGCUACAGUAAAUCUUCUAUAAAUGUCUAAUAACCAAACAGGAGGACAGCAUUCUACUCAGGCUGCAUGCAGUCAGUUAAAGAAAAAAAAAAUAAAUAAAUUAUGAAGUUGUUGGAAGUGACUAAAGAUCUAAUGUUUAAAACAGAAAAAGGAAAACAACCAUAAAAUUGUUAAUGUUUCAGUAAAAUGUGUUCCCAGGAGGAUUUUGGCAUGGGGAUGAUUUAAUAAGUCAUCCAUGUUGCUUCAGUUGCUAAACUUAAGCUUGAGGCAGAAACAUGAGCCUUCAGCCUGAACAUGUUCAAACUGCUACCAGGCUCAGGUUCAUCACAAAUAUACAUGUGAAACAAAUGAGUGCCGGAGCAGCCUGAGGCUAAAGCCACGCCACAGCUGAGAGGACAGGCCUCCUCUGCUCUGCUCUGCUCUGCUCUCUGAUGCACAGGCUGCCGCUCCAGAGUCAUUUAAAUAAGACUGGCUGCGUCUGAGUGCCCUGCUGCUCAGAACCUCAGGAUAAUCCCAGCAGAUCCUGUAACUGGAUUAAGAGUCCGACCAAGAUCUACAGCAAGAGUGAAAGUCCUGUGACAAGCAGCUGCAGCCACACGUGUCUUCAGGGGUAGAGGACACACACACACACACACAUACACACACACACAUACACAUUUUACCACCUAAAGUACAUAGAGCAAACAGCUUGUUAAUCAUUUAACAGAUCUACUGAAGCCUUUCUCUCUAUCUGGUUCAAGGAAAAAAUUUUACCAUCUGAAUCUAAAUCAUUUUACUACAAAAGAUUUCUUGUUUACU